AAAGGAAGGAAAAACUGUAAGAAUGAAUUUUAAAAGGGGGUAGUGGUGGGGCGGGGGGUAAGACUGAUGUUGCUUGAGGGUGCAAACUUACAACAAGCAGUAAAUGAGCUGUACAGAUCUAAUGCACAGUAAAUGAGUAAAGACAACAAUAAUUGUGCAAUUAUGAAUUGUGGUAACUAUCGCUACAGGGGCAACCACACUAUCACAGAUCAAUGUAUCAAAGUAACACAUCGUACACCUUAAAUUUACACAACGGUACAUGGCACAUAUAUUCAAUAACAAAAUUUUAAAAAGAAGUGUUGGUUAGUGAUCUGAAUGCCCCUUGA